UAAAAGAAAAAAGGGCUUUAUCAUCACUCAAACACCUCUUCCGAACACUGUGGUGGACUUUUGGCGCCUGGUCUACGACCAUGGUGUCAGUACCGUCAUCAUGUUAGACCGUGUGAAUACCGGGAAUAAGAGUGUAGGGAUCUAUUGGACAGAUGAAGACGCAGUCUUUGGCCCGUUUAAAGUGGAGGUCACAGAUGUGGAAAAGGCAGAUGGAUUUUCCUCUUGGACUUACCGGCUGACCCAUAAAGACAAGAAAGCGGCUCAGCCUGUCAAUCAUUUCCGCUGUUCAUUUUGGUCGAAUAAACCAACAUUGACGACUAUUCCAGCGCUAUUGGCUGUACUGCAAAGCGCUGAAAUCUGGCAAGGCAAGACUGGUGGCGGACCUGUUUUAGUUCAU